CAGUGCCGCGGGAAUACGAAGGGGGCUAGCGUUGCUCGGAAUGACUGGGCGUAAAGGGCGCGUAGGCGGCGAUCAAAGUCAGGCGUGAAAUUCCUGGGCUCAACCUGGGGGCUGCGCUUGAUACUUGGUUGCUUGAGUGGGGAAGAGGGUCGUGGAAUUCCCAGUGUAGAGGUGAAAUUCGUAGAUAUUCGGAAGAACACAAGUGGCGAAGGCGGCUCACUGGCUCAUACUGGACGCUGAGGUGCGAAAGCGUGGGGAGCAAACAGGAUUAGAUACCCCCGUAGUCCCUGUCUCUUAUACA
rnacentral:rRNA from 1 species